rnacentral:rRNA from 1 species
CGGGUUGUAAAGCUCUGUCGCGCGGGACGAACAUUCUUAGGGUUGACAGCCCCAGGAACUGACGGUACCGCGAAAGGAAGCACCGGCUAACUCUGUGC